UGGAAACUGCCAAUCUAGAGUAUCGGAGAGGAAAGUGGAAUUCCUAGUGUAGCGGUGAAAUGCGUAGAUAUUAGGAAGAACACCAGUGGCGAAGGCGACUUUCUGGACGAAAACUGACGCUGAGGCGCGAAAGCCAGGGGAGCGAACGGGAUUAGAUACCCCGGUAGUCCUGGCCGUAAACGAUGGGUACUAGGUGUAGGAGGUAUCGACCCCUUCUGUGCCGGAGUUAACGCAAUAAGUACCCCGCCUGGGGAGUACGACCGCAAGGUUGAAACUCAAAGGAAUUGACGGGGGCCCGCACAAGCGGUGGAGUAUGUGGUUUAAUUCGACGCAACGCGAAGAACCUUACCAGGUCUUGACAU
rnacentral:rRNA from 1 species